UCUGCCACAUAAUAUCUGCUGCUAUGGGCUAAUCAGUUACAUAGAAGCGGGAUCCUUGUUCCUUUAUGCAUAUAAAUUGUCACUCUAUCAAGGAAGUAGAAAGGGUUAUAUCAUGCUCAGUCUCUGUUGGAAGAUAAAUAUGAAUUUAUUAUUUUUAUAAAUUACAUUGAACUAUAUGAGUGAGAUUAUUCAUGCAUAUCUAGGUACAAGAGAUAUAUUAA
rnacentral:lncRNA from 1 species